AUUUCCCUUUCAGUUCAUAACUAUGCGCUAUUUUUAAUCCAGUGACGUGCGGUGAGGUUCAUAUCUGGUCAGGCACCGACUUAAUUAUAAUCGGAUUUACAAAUCCAGACCCCUGCAUGUUAUUGUUUACAUAAGGAAAUUUCGCGCAUGCGUACAAUGCUGGAGGG